GACGAACGCUGGCGGCGUGCCUAAUACAUGCAAGUCGAGCGAAGUUUUUCUGGUGCUUGCACUAGAAAAACUUAGCGGCGAACGGGUGAGUAACACGUAAAGAACCUGCCUCAUAGACUGGGACAACUAUUGGAAACGAUAGCUAAUACCGGAUAACAGUAUUUCUCGCAUGAGAGAUAUUUAAAAGUUGGUUAUGCUAACACUAUGAGAUGGCUUUGCGGUGCAUUAGCUAGUUGGUGGGGUAAAGGCCCACCAAGGCGACGAUGCAUAGCCGACCUGAGAGGGUGAUCGGCCACACUGGGACUGAGACACGGCCCAGACUCCUACGGGAGGCAGCAGUAGGGAAUCUUCCGCAAUGGGCGAAAGCCUGACGGAGCAACGCCGCGUGAGUGAAGAAGGUUUUCGGUUCGUAAAGCUCUGUUGUUAGGGAAGAAUGGAUAUGUAGUAACUAUACAUGUAAGAGACGGUACCUAACCAGAAAGCCACGGCUAACUACGUG
rnacentral:rRNA from 1 species